rnacentral:rRNA from 1 species
CCUACGGGAGGCAGCAGUGAGGAAUAUUGGUCAAUGGCCGCAGGGCUGAACCAGCCAAGUCGCGUGAGGGAUGACGGUCCUAUGGAUUGUAAACCUCUUUUGUCAGGGAGCAAAGGGCGCCACGUGUGGCGCUUUGCGAGUACCUGAAGAAAAAGCAUCGGCUAACUCCGUGCCAGCAGCCGCGGUAAUACGGAGGAUGCGAGCGUUAUCCGGAUUUAUUGGGUUUAAAGGGUGCGCAGGCGGAAUGUGAAGUCAGCGGUAAAAUUUCGGGGCUCAACCCCGUCGUGCCGUUGAAACUGGCGUUCUUGAGUGAGCGAGAAGUAUGCGGAAUGCGUGGUGUAGCGGUGAAAUGCAUAGAUAUCACGCAGAACUCCGAUUGCGAAGGCAGCAUACCGGCGCUCAACUGACGCUCAUGCACGAAAGCGUGGGUAUCGAACAGGAUUAGAUACCCCAGUAGUC